AUUGGGGUGGCAGAGACAGGUAUAAAUGCAAGAGACCUAAACCCUCUAUCCAGGGGUUCAACUCCCCUUCCCAAUU